rnacentral:rRNA from 1 species
GGAUUAGAUACCCUGGUAGUCCAAGCCGUAAACGAUGAACACUCGAUGUUAGGCUUUUCAAUCGGCCUAGUGUCCAAGCUAACGCGUUAAGUGUUCCGCCUGGGGAGUACGAUCGCAAGAUUAAAACUCAAAGGAAUAGACGGGGACCCACACAAGCGGUGGAGCAUCUGGUUUAAUUUGAUAAUAAGCGGGGAACCUUACCUGGCCUUGACAUCUUUUUGAAUUUCCUAGAGAUAGGAAAGUGCCUUCGGGAGCAAAAAUGACAGGCGCUGCAUGGUUGUCGUCAGCUCGUGCCG